rnacentral:rRNA from 1 species
UACGAAGGGGGCUAGCGUUGCUCGGAAUCACUGGGCGUAAAGCGCACGUAGGCGGCUUACUAAGUCAGGGGUGAAAUCCUGGAGCUCAACUCCAGAACUGCCUUUGAUACUGAGGAUCUCGAGUCCGGGAGAGGUGAGUGGAACUGCGAGUGUAGAGGUGAAAUUCGUAGAUAUUCGCAAGAACACCAGUGGCGAAGGCGGCUUACUGGUCCGGUUCUGACGCUGAGGCGCGAAAAGCGUGGGGGAGCAAACAGG